rnacentral:rRNA from 1 species
UACGGGGGGGGCAAGCGUUGCUCGGAAUUACUGGGCGUAAAGGGCGCGUAGGCGGCCUUCUAAGUCGGACGUGAAAUCCCUCGGCUCAACCGAGGAACUGCGUCCGAUACUGAAAGGCUUGAAUCCGGGAGAGGGAUGUGGAAUUCCAGGUGUAGCGGUGAAAUGCGUAGAUAUCUGGAGGAACACCGGUGGCGAAGGCGGCAUCCUGGACCGGUAUUGACGCUGAGGCGCGAAAGCUAGGGGAGCAAACGGG